AGAACGAACGCUGGCGGCAGGCUUAACACAUGCAAGUCGAACGCCCCGCAAGGGGAGUGGCAGACGGGUGAGUAACGCGUGGGAACCUACCCAAUUCUACGGAACAACUGAGGGAAACUUCAGCUAAUACCGUAUACGCCCGAUAGGGGAAAGAUUUAUCGGAGUUGGAUGGGCCCGCGUUGGAUUAGCUAGUUGGUGGGGUAAUGGCCUACCAAGGCGACGAUCCAUAGCUGGUCUGAGAGGAUGAUCAGCCACACUGGGACUGAGACACGGCCCAGACUCCGUACGGGAGGCAGCAGUAGGGGAAUAUUGGACAAGUGGGCGCAAGCCUGAUCCAGCCAUGCCGCGUGAGUGAUGGAAGGCCUUAGGGUUGUAAAGCUCUUUCAGGUGGGGAAGAUAAGUGACGGUACCACAGAAGAACGCCCCGGAUAACGUUCGUCGCCAGCAGCCGAC
rnacentral:rRNA from 1 species